GAUGAACGCUGGCGGCGUGCCUAAUACAUGCAAGUCGAGCGAACAGACGAGGAGCUUUCUCCUCUGACGUUAGCGGCGGACGGGUGAGUAACACGUGGAUAACCUACCUAUAAGACUGGGAUAACUUCGGGAAACCGGAGCUAAUACCUGAUAAUAUAUUGAACCGCAUGGUUCAAUAGUGAAAGACGGUUUUGCUGUCGCUUAUAGAUGGAACCGCGCCGCAUUAGCUAGUUGGUAAGGUAACGGCUUACCAAGGCAACGAUGCGUAGCCGACCUGAAAGGGUGAUCGGCAACACUGGAACUGAGACACGGUCCAGAGUCCUACGGGAGGCAGCAGUAGGGAAUCUUCCGCAAUGGGCGACAGCUUGACGGAGCAACGACGCGUGAGCGAUGAAGGUCUUAGGAUAGUAAAACUCUGUAACUAGGGAAGAACAAAUGUGUAAGUAACUAUGCAAGUCUUCACGGUACCUGCUCAGAAAGCCACGGCUAACUACGUG
rnacentral:rRNA from 1 species